ensembl:lncRNA
CUGCUUACUCAGAAUUCUAGACUGGGGCUCUGGGGCUCGUCUGCUCUUAGGUUCUGUCUCACAGUUCACAUCUGCUCAUCUUAUCCUCCUUGCGGUUCUAGUUCACUGGCUUGGUUUUCUGAAGGUUUCUGUCGCCGCUUUUGCCUACAUUUCAGUCUUUAGUUCAAGAUGCUUGUUCUGUACAUUCACACAUUCUUUCCUGAUUCCAGUUCACGUGUCCAGGUCCGAGGGGACCAAACCAGAGAGCUUGAGCUCUGAGACCGCAGUUUGGAGACAGUUGAGCGUCGUGUGCUUCCGGGCAGGAGGCUCACUCUCUGUAAAGGCAGCAGGUGCAUCAGGCUGCAGCCUGGGAAGUGGGGCUUCCAGAUUCUACUGAGAAGAGAGCAUGAUUGACAAACACGGAGCCUCCCGCGUGCAGGGUUCGUCUUCCUGGUGUUCCAUGGCAGUCUCCAUCGGAAUGUGUUCACCACGUACACUAAGGGUCAUUUUUCAGCCAAAAGGCAUUUCUUCAUCGUUUCUGUCGGAUGGGAAUGCGGACCUUUGGAAGGUUUUCGUGCAUAAUGGUGAUGAGUCUGGGGAAAUGGAGCACCUCCUGGUGUUAGACGCAAAGUCGGCCAAUAUUUUGAGUCCUUGCGUGAAGAACACAAGGGAGUUGCUGGCCUCGGCGGCUCGUCCGGUCAACAUUUUGCUUUGUGGAAAACUAGGGCUCCUACCACUGGACUCAGCUCAACCAGUGCUCAGUGGUCACACUCGGUGUGCUUAGCACUUCUAGAGGCAGCGGAAGAAAUCAACGUGAAGAUGACCUCGAUCUUCCUGAAGCAAGGAUUCAAGCCAAGGCAGACCCCGACAGCGCCAGAAUCCAGGAGGCCGGCCUUGGCACCCCACUGUGCCCACUGGUUCCUCCCCAUCCCGCCUCUGCCCCCUUGGCACCUGCUUCUCUGCUGCUCGCUGAGGAUGGAUCCUCGGUCACUCCUGUUAUCCUGGGGAAGUGCAAGAGUUCAACUGAGUCCCUCCUCCCUACCCCCACCCGGAGCUGAGGCCUGGCUGUGCCUGCGAGGGGAAGGGCUUUCCACCUGGAGAGGAGAUCUGUGUGCACCCAGGACCAGCGUGUGCGUGCACAUGCACACACACAUAUGCAUGUGUGCACAGAGUUUUAUAUCACUUUAGCACCAGUGUGUGCAUACACACACCCACACCACAUACACACACGCGUGCACAGCGUUGUGUAUCACUUUAGCACCAGCGUGUGCGUGCACACACACACACGCACGCGUGCAGAGUUCUAUAUCACUCUGUCUGUGCUGAUGUCCCAAUUUAAUUUCCAGCCCUGACUACUCCUGGCCUCCAGUGCCAUCUGUGAGCCACAGGGAAGAGGCUGAAGUCAGAGCCAAGAUGGAUCUGACCCCGAAACUGGGAGCAUGUCCAGGAGAGACGGCCUCACAGGCCUUGGGCGCUGGGGACUCAGGCAGCAGUGACAGGCAGGCAGGAUGCAGAAGCAGGCUGUUCUGACCCCGGCAGAUGCACGAGAGGGAGCCCCUCCUGGAAUUACACGUCCCCCAGUCCUGGUCCCCAGUGCCUGGAGAGCUGCCAUGCCUUGGGGGACACGGGCGGCUCAGGGGUAACGAUGUCCUGCAAGUUCAGGUGUCUGGUUACAGCCAUUCCUGCAGGGGUCUAAUUUUUUUUUCUUAUCUUGGUACAUAUUGAAACAAAAAGAAAAUGACCAGGGAAUGACUGAACCUGCUUCCUGGAGUGAAGACAGUGUGCACGUGACCUCAGAGCCCAGUAGCAAACGUGGGAAGCCCCCACUGACCCUGAGGAUGGUGUGCACGUG